AUUGAACGCUGGCGGUAUGCUUAAGACAUGCAAGUCGAACGGUAACAGGUUAAGCUGACGAGUGGCGGACGAGUGAGUAACGCGUGGGAAUCUACCUUGUAGUGGGGGAUAAGCCAGGGAAACUUGGACUAAUACCGCAUACGCCCUAAGGGGGAAAGGCGCAAGUCGCUAUAAGGAUGAGCCCGCGUCUGAUUAGGUAGUUGGUGGGGUAAAGGCCUACCAAGCCGACGAUCAGUAGCUGGUCUGAGAGGAUGAUCAGCCACGUCGGGACUGAGACACGGCCCGGACUCCUACGGGAGGCAGCAGUCGGGAAUAUUGGACAAUGGGGAAACCCUGAUCCAGCAAUACCGCGUGUGUGAGGAAGGCCUGCGGGUUGUAAAGCACUUUCAG
rnacentral:rRNA from 1 species